GAUGAACGCUGGCGGCGUGCCUAAUACAUGCAAGUCGAGCGAACAGACGAGGAGCUUGCUCCUCUGACGUUAGCGGCGGACGGGUGAGUAACACGUGGAUAACCUACCUAUAAGACUGGGAUAACUUCGGGAAACCGGAGCUAAUACCGGAUAAUAUAUUGAACCGCAUGGUUCAAUAGUGAAAGACGGUUUUGCUGUCACUUAUAGAUGGAUCCGCGCCGCAUUAGCUAGUUGGUAAGGUAACGGCUUACCAAGGCGACGAUGCGUAGCCGACCUGAGAGGGUGAGCGGCCACACUGGAACUGAGACACGGUCCAGACUCCUACGGGAGGCAGCAGUAGGGAAUCUUCCGCAAUGGGCGAAAGCCUGACGGAGCAACGCCGCGUGAGUGAUGAAGGUCUUCGGAUCGUAAAACUCUGUUAGUAGGGAAGAACAAAUGUGUAAGUAACUAUGCACGUCUUGACGGUACCUAAUCAGAAAGCCACGGCUAACUACGUG
rnacentral:rRNA from 1 species